AGAGUUUGAUCAUGGCUCAGGACGAACGCUGGCGGCGUGCUUAACACAUGCAAGUCGAACGGAAAGGCCCUUCGGGGUACUCGAGUGGCGAACGGGUGAGUAACACGUGGGUGAUCUGCCCUGCACUUUGGGAUAAGCCUGGGAAACUGGGUCUAAUACCGAAUAUGACCAUGCGCCUCCUGGUGUGUGGUGGAAAGCUUUUGCGGUGUGGGAUGGGCCCGCGGCCUAUCAGCUUGUUGGUGGGGUAAUGGCCUACCAAGGCGACGACGGGUAGCCGGCCUGAGAGGGUGACCGGCCACACUGGGACUGAGAUACGGCCCAGACUCCUACGGGAGGCAGCAGUGGGGAAUAUUGCACAAUGGGCGCAAGCCUGAUGCAGCGACGCCGCGUGAGGGAUGACGGCCUUCGGGUUGUAAACCUCUUUCAGCACAGACGAAGCGCAAGUGACGGUAUGUGCAGAAGAAGGACCGGCCAACUACGUGCCAGCAGCCGCGGUAAUACGUAGGGUCCGAGCGUUGUCCGGAAUUACUGGGCGUAAAGAGCUCGUAGGUGGUUUGUCGCGUUGUUCGUGAAAACUCACAGCUUAACUGUGGGCGUGCGGGCGAUACGGGCAGACUUGAGUACUGCAGGGGAGACUGGAAUUCCUGGUGUAGCGGUGGAAUGCGCAGAUAUCAGGAGGAACACCGGUGGCGAAGGCGGGUCUCUGGGCAAUAACUGACGCUGAGGAGCGAAAGCGUGGGGAGCGAACAGGAUUAGAUACCCCGGUAGUCC
rnacentral:rRNA from 1 species